ensembl:snRNA U6 U6 spliceosomal RNA
UCAUGAUACAGAAAAGAUGAGCAUGGCCUCUGAGCAAGGAUGAUGUGCAAAUUUGUGAACUGUUUCAUAUUUUU